AUUAGGGUGGAAUAGGUUUCUGGUCUGUGUGUUAGUGCUUCUUUCCUUUUUUCUUUUUCUGGUUCUUCUUUUUGCGCCUCACCUGCGUCA
rnacentral:ribozyme from 11 species